ACACACACUGCAUACACUGAUACAACACACACACUGCAUACACUAACACAACACACAUACUGCAUACACUAAUACAACACACUGCAUACACUAACACAACACACACUCUGCAUACACUAAUACAACACACUGCAUACACUAACACAACGCACACUCUGCAUACACUAACACAACACACACUCUGCAUUCACUACACACUAACACACUCACUGCAUCCACUACACAUUAACACACUCUGCAUUCGCUACACAUUAACACACUCUGCAUUCAGUACACUAACACACACUCUGCAUCCGCUACACACUAACACACUCUCUGCAUUCACUACACUGACACACUCUGCAUUCACUACACACUAACACACACUCUGCAUGCAUUACACACUAACACACACUCUGCAUUCACUAAACUAUACACACACUCUGCAUUCACUACACUAACAUACACUCUGCAUUAACUGUACACACAGCAUCCACUACACAAACAUCCACCACAAAUUGAAACACUCUGCAUUCACUAUACACAGACACUGCGUCUGAUACACACACUACAUCCACUACAG